rnacentral:rRNA from 1 species
CAGCCGCCACGGUAACACGUAGGUGGCAAGCGUUGUCCGGAAUUAUUGGGCGUAAAGGGCUCGCAGGCGGUUUCUUAAGUCUGAUGUGAAAGCCCCCGGCUCAACCGGGGAGGGUCAUUGGAAACUGGGAAACUUGAGUGCAGAAGAGGAGAGUGGAAUUCCACGUGUAGCGGUGAAAUGCGUAGAGAUGUGGAGGAACACCAGUGGCGAAGGCGACUCUCUGGUCUGUAACUGACGCUGAGGAGCGAAAGCGUGGGGAGCGAACAGGAUUAGAUACCCCCGUAGUCCCUGUCUCUUAUAC